CCAGACUCCUACGGGAGGCAGCAGUCGGGAAUAUUGCGCAAUGGAGGAAACUCUGACGCAGUGACGCCGCGUGCAGGAAGAAGGUUUUCGGAUUGUAAACUGCUUUAGACAGGGAAGAUACAAGACAGUACCUGUAAAAUAAGCUCCGGCUAACUCCGUGCCAGCAGCCGCGGUAAUACGGAGGAUGCGAGCGUUAUCCGGAUUUAUUGGGUUUAAAGGGUGCGCAGGCGGAAUGUCAAGUCAGCGGUAAAAUUUCGGGGCUCAACCCCGUCGUGCCGUUGAAACUGGCGUUCUUGAGUGAGCGAGAAGUAUGCGGAAUGCGUGGUGUAGCGGUGAAAUGCAUAGAUAUCACGCAGAACCCCGAUUGCGAAGGCAGCAUACCGGCGCUCAACUGACGCUGAGGCACGAAAGCGUGGGUAUCGAACAGGAUUAGAUACCCCAGUACC
rnacentral:rRNA from 1 species